AGUGAACGCUGGCGGUAGGCCUAACACAUGCAAGUCGAACGGCAGCACAGUAAGAGCUUGCUCUUACGGGUGGCGAGUGGCGGACGGGUGAGGAAUACAUCGGAAUCUACUUUUUCGUGGGGGAUAACGUAGGUAAACUUACGCUAAUACCGCAUACGACCUACGGGUGAAAGCAGGGGAUCUUCGGACCUUGCGCGAUUGAAUGAGCCGAUGUCGGAUUAGCUAGUUGGCGGGGUAAAGGCCCACCAAGGCGACGAUCCGUAGCGGGUCUGAGAGGAUGAUCAGCCACACUGGAACUGAGACACGGUCCAGACUCCUACGGGAGGCAGCAGUGGGGAAUAUUGGACAAUGGGCGCAAGCCUGAUCCAGCCAUACCGCGUGGGUGAAGAAGGCCUUCGGGUUGUAAAGCCCUUUUGUUGGGAAAGAAAAGCAGCAGGUUAAUACCCAGCUGUUCUGACGGUACCCAAAGAAUAAGCACCGGCUAACUUCGUG
rnacentral:rRNA from 1 species